UACGGGGGGGGUAAGCGUUGUUCGGAAUUACUGGGCGUAAAGGGCUCGUAGGGGGCCAACUAAGUCGGACGUGAAAUCCCUCAGCUUAACUGGGGAACUGCGUCCGAUACUGGAUGGCUUGGAUUUGGGAGAGGGAUGCGGAAUUCCAGGUGUAGCGGUGAAAUGCGUAGAUAUCUGGAGGAACACCGGUGGCGAAGGCGGCAUCCUGGACCAAUAUUGACGCUGAGGAGCGAAAGCCAGGGGAGCAAACGGG
rnacentral:rRNA from 1 species